AGAGUUUGAUCAUGGCUCAGAGCGAACGCUGGCGGCGUGCUUAACACAUGCAAGUCGAGUGCGCGGUUGUAGCAAUACAACUGGCGCACGGCGCACGGGUGCGUAACACGUGGGUAAUCUGCCCUCUGAUGGGGAAUAACUCGCCGAAAGGCGAGCUAAUACCGCAUAACAUUCCUUGGACUCCGGUUCGAGGAUUCAAAGGCGUAAGUCGUCGGAGGUGGAGCCCGCGCACGAUUAGCUAGUUGGUAGGGUAAUGGCCUACCAAGGCUAUGAUCGUUAGCUGGUCUGAGAGGAUGGCCAGCCACACUGGAACUGAGACACGGUCCAGACUCCUACGGGAGGCAGCAGUGGGGAAUCUUGCACAAUGGGCGAAAGCCUGAUGCAGCGACGCCGCGUGGGGGAUGAAGCUUCUCGGAGUGUAAACCCCUUUCGACCGGGACGAAUACCUCGCAAGAGGGGUGACGGUACCGGUAUAAGAAGCCCCGGCUAACUACGUGCCAGCAGCCGCGGUAAGACGUAGGGGGCCAGCGUUGCUCGGAAUUACUGGGUGUAAAGGGUUCGUAGGCGGUGUGGCAAGUCGGGAGUGAAAUCUCUGGGCUCAACUCAGGGGCUGCUUCCGAAACUGCCGUGCUAGAGUGUGGGAGAGGCGCGUGGAAUUGCAGGUGUAGCGGUGAAAUGCGUAGAUAUCUGCAGGAACACCCGUGGCGAAAGCGGCGCGCUGGACCACUACUGACGCUGAGGAACGAAAGCUAGGGGAGCAAACAGGAUUAGAUACCCUAGUAGUCC
rnacentral:rRNA from 1 species